AGCAGCCGCGGUAAUUCCAGCUCCAAUAGCGUAUAUUAAAGUUGUUGCAGUUAAAAAGCUCGUAGUUGAAUUUCGGGGUUAGUAGGUUGGUCAUGCCUCUGGUAUGUACUGAUCUCACUGAUUCCUCCUUCCUGAUGAACCGUAAUGCCAUUAAUUUGGUGUUGCGGGGAAUUUGGACUGUUACUUUGAAAAAUUAGAGUGUUUAAAGCAAGCUAACGCUUGAAUACAUUAGCAUGGAAUAGCGAAAUAGGACGUUUGAUUUUAUUUUGUUGGUUUCUAGGAUCGACGUAAUGAUUAAUAGGGAUAGUUGGGGGCAUUAGUAUUCAAUUGUCAGAGGUGAAAUUCUUGG
rnacentral:rRNA from 1 species